UAAGUCCUUUUCUGAAUCCGGGCCCUAAAAAUCUGGAGUCUAGUCUAGUCUUGUGCAUCAUCAACAGAACUGUUUAUUAAUAAUCCCAGUCAGUUACAGCUUUGGAAACCUACAAAGAGCAAUGGGUUUACCCAGGUUUUAUGCGGGGCAUAAUGUGAAGACUACGAGGGUUCACAAGUGUAACAAAAGGAUCUAAUUUGGCCUUCAAAUCCUUAUUAGUGAUAAUGGCAUGAGAAAUCUAGAACCCAGGUUGAGUUUUCAGGGCUGACAAUUUAGAAAAACUUUUUUUUUUUUAAAUUGAGUACAGAAUCCAUGAUGGACAAUAAACAUGGAAUUCCACAAUGCCUUUUCUUACAGUGUGUUUUCAGUGUGUAUCCAAAGGGUUCAACUUAAGUUUCAACCUUCAAUUUAAUGUCUUUGCCAUUCUGGAUUGAACUAGGGCCUCAACAUAUUGCAUGAGUAAUAAUCAUUUUUGGAACAGUGAGACUUUAUCUUCAAAUUUUGGGGGGGUAUAGAAAGGCGAUGGAAGGAUGGCCUUCUUCCCAAAUUAAGCUCUCUACUUACUAAGCAUGGUAUAGUGUAUAUGUUCCUGUUACAGCUUGUGAAAUAUUACCCUUUUUCGUUCUCAUUGGCUGGGACUUGUGCAUAAAAAUCUGUGUCUUAAAUUUAUUGCACAAAAUUCUUUUGGGGUCAAUUAAUUUUUAAUCUGUUUUUUUUUCCCCUGAAGCAGAUACGGUGGUUUAGCUUGCUGCAGACUGGUUAUCCAAAUCUGCUCUCGGUUUCAGGGAAUUCAAUGAGAGUUAUGCAUGCCUAUCGAAGAGCAGAACUGGGCCUGCUGUGUUGUGAAAUAUGCAGUUCAGGUUCCAGAAAUAGUGCUAAAUGUGAACAUUUAACCUAGCAGAUAAUAAACAAUGCUAGUGAAAAGCAUAAUGUUCUCUCUUCAUAGCAGUUUAAAUUGGGUCAGUCCUUUAAAUGCUUUUGAUCCAGGUAAAGCAUCAUUUUCUUGUUGCAAAACACUGACAUUCACAAGAAGGGCAAGUUUUGGUGUAUUUUUUUUUUUGGUUAGUUUGUUUGGGUUUUGUUUAGUUUUUUAAUAGAUUAAACUGAACUUUUUAGAUAUAUAUUUUUAUAGGUGGAGACCAAGCUCUAUUCGACAGUAAUAGGAGGCUUUCAGGGAGUUCCUUGUUUUGUUUUGCUUUCAGUUUUAAAUAGUUUUUUCCCUACAUUUGCAUACAUAUCACUGUCGCCCAUAGCAUGUCGCUCUGGAGACCAAACCAUGACAACUAUAUCAUACACAGGAGUGCAAAGUAUUAAUUUCAACAUCUUUUUUUUAGGGCUGUCGAUUAAACGCAGUUAACUCACGUGAUUAACUAAAAAAAAAUAAUUGUGAUUGAUUAAUCUCACUGUUGAACAACAGAAUACCAAUUGAAAUUUAUUAAAUAUUUUUGGAUGUUUUUCUACAUUUUCAAAUAUAUUGAUUUCUAUUACAACACAGAAUAUGAAGUGUACAGUGCUCACUUUAUAUUAUUUUUUAUUACAAAUAUUUGCACUGUACAAAUGAUAAAAGAAAUAGUAUUUUUCAGUUCGCGUCAUACAAGUACUGUAGUGCAAUCUUUUUAUCGUGAAAGUGUAACUUACAAAUGUAGAUUUUUUUUUUUUGUUGCAUAACUGCACUCAUUUACAAAACAGUGUAAAACUUUAGAGCCCACAAGUCCACUCAGUCCUACUACUUCUUGUUCAGCCAAUCGCUAAGACAAAUAAGUUUGUUUACAUUUACAGGAGAUACUGCUGCCUGCUUCUUAUUUACAAUUUCACCUGAAAUUGAGAACAGGCAUUCGCAUGGCACUUUUGUAGCCGGCAUUGCAAGUGGGUUCCAGAACCAGCUGCUCCAAGAAGCAGUCAUUUAAGGUGUCAAGAAACUUUAUCUCUGCAUCCCAUCCUGAGGUGAUGUACCCAGUCAUAGGAGGAUAAUUGAACUCUCCCAUUAUUAUUUUGAGUUUUUAUUUAUAUAUUAUUGAGUUUUUUAUUUUAAUAGCCUCUCUAAUCUCCCUGAGCAUUUCACAGUCACUAUCACCAUCGUGGUCAGUAAUAUAUCCCUACCGCUAUAUUCUUAUUAUUAGAGCAUGGAAUUACUAUCCAUAGAGAUUUUAUGGUACAGUUUGAUUCAUUUACGAUUUUUACUUCAUUUGAUUCUAUGCUUUCUUUCACAUAUAAUGCCACUCCCCCACCAGCACGACCUGUUCUGUCCUUCUGAUAUAUUUUGUACCCUGGUAUUACUUUGUCCCAGUGAUUAUCCUCGUACCCCCAAGUUUUUGUGAUGCCUAUUAUAUCAAUAUCUUUAUUUAAUACGAGGCACUCUAGUUCACCCAUUUUAUUAUUUAGACUUCUAGCAUUGGUAUAUAAGCACUUUAAAAACUUGUCUCCUUUUAGCUGUCUGCCAUUACACGAUGUAAUUGAAUGAAACUUUUUUUUUUAUUUGACUGUUUCUGAUCAGACCCUGCCUGUAUUUUAUCAUUUUCCAUCCUCUCGUCCUCACUAGGAAGGACAUAGAGAUUCUCUAUUAAUAGAUCCUCCCAUAAGGGAUGUCCGAACCACUUGCUCCUCCGCAUCUGUCAGCUUUCCUCUAGCCCUUAGUUUAAAAACUGUUCUACGACCUUUUUAAUGUCUUAGAACAGUGCUCCAGGUUGGGAGACAAGGAAUUCUACAGCAGUUUGGGGGAAGUAUUAAACAAAUGAAAGUUUAGGUUUUAUUUCAUUAAAUUUGAAAAUGAAUAAUAGAAUCAGUAGCGUCCUUUGUGCUUAUAUAUAUUGCUAUUAUGGUCACUUUAUUUUACUCUUGCCCCCCCUAAAUUUUCAGUUUACUUUGUGCUCUGCUAACACCUAAUUAUGUUGCAGAAGCUAAAGGUUUUGAUGAGUGGGUUUAGGCGGUGUAGGAGAGGUUUAGACAUGGAUAUGUUCACAUCACUGAGGAGGGUUUUUAGUUUCUAUGUUCCUCCUAUGGGCAUUACUCAGUCAUUGCUUGGCAGAGAGAUCCACUAAAUGUUGUUCAUUCCAGGGGAGCAUCACAACUGCCCUAUUCUGCCACCAGCAUUAUAAAUAUUCAAGACUUCCAUAGAGCUAAACACAGGCAGAAAGCUAGAGCUGCUUUAGGAUUUACUCUGCUUGUAUACACUCAGGUUCCCGCCAUUUAGGGUGACCAGAUAGAAAGUGUGAAAAAUUGGGACAGAAGGUGGGGGGUAAUAGGCGCAUAUAUAAGAAAAAGCCCCCAAUAUCGGAACUGCCCGUAUAAUAUCAGCACAUCUGGACCCCAUGUGCUCAAACCCGGCAAUGGCUAAAACAUUAGGUACUGAGAAGGGAUUAUCACGAAUAGGAUUUGAAUAAAACUUCUGUUUUUUGACAUUUAAAAACUCUUCCCUCAAAUAUGAUUUGUUUCUAUUAACUAAAAUGUUAGUUAUAUAAAGUAAGUCGAGGCCUAAUCUGCAUGGGUGAGUACCUAGAAGCAGGCACCUGAUUAAACGUUGCCUCAUUUUCAGAGAUGUUGGGCACACACACAACUCCCACAAAAGCCAAUGAGAGUUGAAGGCACUUGUUACCUCAGAAAAUCAGCUGUUCAGUUAGGUGCCUAACUAUAGAAUUAAAUGCCUACCUGUGGGUACCCAACUUUGAAAACAAGACUCUGAGCUACAACAGCAGCGAAAGCUGUAUCCUGCCCUCGAUCCCUGGUGGAAUUCCUGUUUGUCUGCGACAUUUGCCUGGUAUAUGGAUGGCUCUUAGAAGUAAAUACGUGGCACCUAAAUAUUUAACUUGCAAUAAUAAGGAUAUUCUUGCCAUGAUAACAGUAAAAUCACAGAUGCAUCUAUCUUAUCUACUUAUCUGUCUAUUCUCUAGUUAAUUGUGGGUGGGAGAUGGGAUUUAACAUGGAUAUAUAUUGCCUUCACCCACUGAUCACUGUUUCUUCUGGGUGAUUAGCAAAGCAGGAUGUGUACCUCCCAACAGCUUUGUGUUUUGUCAUAAAGCAAAAAGGAUAUUGUUUUCAGCAUUUAUGGAUACUGUCCUUAAUUAAUCUCGGUAUCUAACUUGGCCUCCCUUGCCAUCAGCUCAAUACCAGCCACUAAGGGAAACUGAGUGUUACAAAAAUGUCUUCUCUUUUUAGUUUUUUUUUUUAAAGUCCUAUAUCAUUCAUAGCCUAAAAUGCCUGCUGAGAGCCCUGUACUGUGGAUUGUCGAUGUAGUCUGUGUUGCAGCUCAGAUUGGCUAGCAUUACACUUUUUUUCUAGAUCCCUUCCUCUUGGCCACUGUCCAGAGACACAAUGUCCUUGUUUAGUAUUUUGAUGUGGGGAAACACUGAUAAUUAGAGCAGGUUUCAAGCCAUAGCUGAUUUGUAAGCAGCGACUUGCUCCAGGAUGUGUGUUGUCAGUCGAUAAAUACACUGCUUGUGUGUGCUGAGCCACAGUGUGUCUUGUGCCUGAUUAUGCACUGUGUGCGUACAUGUUGAUUGAACCCACACCCUAGGGGUAGUAUUGUUUAAAAUAUUAAAGUUAAUUUCUAGAAGAAUGGAGAUGUCAUUCUGUUCUCCCUUAUGCUGGUAUAAAACCAGUUUAACCACACACUGACUUUAGUGGUGUUCCUCCUUAUUUACAAUGGUAUAAUUUAGGGCAGAAUCAGGCCCUGGAGUUUUAAGACACGUCCAGGAUGUGUGUAUAUAUAAAGUAAUGGAAUUAAACCUAUAAUGUACCAGCAUCUGAACAAAUAGGUCCUGCAAUGGAAAUCUCAUUGCCCUCAAGGGUUUGUUGGACUGGGCCUCAAUUUCCUUAGGCACCAGACUGACUUAUGAAGAUUGGAGAUUUUCUAUUUUGCAAAUUUAACAAAUAAACAAAUAAAACCAAAAUUAAAACAGAUGCAUUUGUGGAGCUGUGUUACAUGGGGAAAAAAGUUCCAGCAUGUUAGUGUGCAAAAUGAGUGAAUGAAAGGGUAUGAUGUGGCAGUGAGCCUUUAAAAAAAAAAAAAAACAGCUUUGAAGAAAUGAACCUAUUAACAGUCUUAUUUUU